rnacentral:tRNA from 1 species
GCGUCCGUAGCUCAGUUGGUUAGAGCACCACCUUGACAUGGUGGGGGUCGGUGGUUCGAGUCCACUCGGAGUCG